UCUCAGAUUGGCCGCCCCUCUUUCCCUAAACUCUCUCUUUUCUCUCAUCCUUUCAAUCUCUAUCAGUCCUAAAUUCUUGCACAAAUAUGUGCAAUGUCACAAAAUUAAACUUCACAAUACUCAAUCUAUCCCUAUACUUACGAAUCCUACCAUUUUAUUUCUUCUUUCAUCACUGAGAUUCAAAAUCCCCAAACCUGAAACCCUAGACUCAAAAAUGAAACUUCAAAUCUUCUGAUUUCUCUUGUGGUCUUUUAAAUCAGAUCAUGCAUGAAGGUUUUAUACGGAUUCAUCAUUGUUAUUCGAUGUCCAGAGAGACCUCUAGAUGUUGGAGUUUGACUUGUUGUUUAUCACUCAUCAACGGUCAAUUUUUCAUUCUCAUAUUCCUAGGUAAAACUGCUUCAUUAUUUUCCCUCUGUGCUCUUCUGAUUUCACUCCUUCCCUAUCGUCAUCUACCCGUUCGUCAUCAUCCACUACUUGUUUGAACUAAUCUAAAAACCUAAGACUUGAAUGCCACAAUACAAAGGGUCAUUUAAUUCCUUCACCUAACACACUUAUAUACCAUCUGAAAUACAAAAAAGAAAGAAAUAAAUAGUAAGUUCCAAGGUUUCCUCACUCUUUACUGUUUUCUUUUCCGGUCCUGAGUUCGAUUGUUGUACUGGUUUUGAGUAUAUCCUUAAACGGCUAUUAAAUCACUCUCGUUUGGUUUGCUUCCCGGUAGAAGAACUCAGGCCCAAGUCCAACUUAGGAUACUCUUUUCGAAGUCUGUCGCUGCUUCAAGUCUGCUGGGCCUGCAUUUCCCUUGGUCCAAUUUCGAGUCAAGUUCCCUUUCCUUUCUCGCUCUUAGAUAAAUGAAGAAUGUUGUUUAUUCUCUAUAUAUAUAUGUGAUACUAACGUUGUUACUGAAAUAUUUCUGUUAUGUUUUUUAUUAUUUUAGGAAAUAGGCAAACCAAAGCCAUUGGUACAUAAAGAAAGAAUCUGAGCUUAUCUGUCAUAUUCA